CUUUUGGUGAUGCUAAUACUGAAAACUCCCAGCUUCGCAAACUCAAUACUGCCCUGGAGACAAAAUACACGCAGGUGAGCAAUAUGCAUGAUUACCAGAACCUUUUGUUAGAAUUUAUUAUUGUGGUAAUAACUGAUGGGAUGCUUCUUAUCCAGGCAAACGCAGAACUUGGAUCUUGCCGGAUUCGCCUACAGAGAGCAGAAGCUAGACUUCAGCAGGUAUGGAGUACUGGAAAGUCAGUCUCUUUCAUUAUGGAGAUCACCAAAGUCCUACUAAUGCUAUGUGAUAGACCUGUGUGGAAGUCAAAAAAUGGAUGUUUUUUUUAAAAUGCUUGAGUUGUUUAUACAUGUUGUUAAUGGAUGCAGGCUCAGUCAGUGUUACUUCGUAAGGAGGAAGACUUCACACUUGCUAUUAAGGCCAGGGAUGAAACUCUGAAAGAAGAAACAAGAUUGAGAGGGCAGUUGGAAGUUGCAGAGGAGAGAGAG